rnacentral:tRNA from 1 species
UGCGAGAUGGUGUCUUGGCACGUGAAGUUUUGGACUUUAAGGUGAUAGGUCGCUCUAUCUCUUGUAG